CUUCUGGCUCUACCUUAGAAACUGGCCUUAUUCUAUAGAGGACAUUGAAUGAUAACACUGCAAGUCAGCUGACUGCUGUGUCACAGAGCUGCUGCUUUCUACAUUAUCGCAACUGCCAGAGCUCUUAGUGCUGCAGUUUUCUAGUCGCAGUGCGGCAAAGCAGACGCAUAGACCCAGGCACAAAGCAGCAUAGAUUUUUUAUUCUCAUCUUUUUUUUUUUUUGUCCGAGAGACGUUUUCCUGGUGUUAGCGCAGAAGCAGACAUGCAGCCUGGAUAUGCUGGCUCCAGCCUGGCAGCUCUUUCGGCUGAGCAGGGACUGUGUGGAGCUCGGUGCCCACGCUGCCGCUGAGGAAGAAAGCUGCUCUCCCACUCUGUGCCGUGACGAUACACCUGCAGCCACAAGACCGUGGAGAUGGCGGCACUUGUCUCUGUUUGCCUGACUGGGGCCUUUGCAGGUGCUCCUCUUCCGAAGCUGUGCUGGCGUUCCAGGGCCGUGCAGAUGGGUAAUACAAUUUGCUGCAGUUUCUUACAUCAGUGUAGCAAAGCUCAAGCGAACAACCAGACUCUGACCUAAAUCAGUCCCAGUUCUUCGGGAUACAGGGCAGCAGGCGACUGGCAGUGAUACAAUCAGCCAUCAAGUGGAGAGGCUCUGGGACUGCAAUCUGUAUGGGUUGGAGUCUGUGAGAAUGAAACAGUUCCCGUUAUCCGGUCGCUUCUCCUUCUAAUAAUACAAUUGCUACAACUGCUACUACUACCGCAUCUGUUUCUCCAUGCCUGAAAGAAGCUGCUCCUUGCGCCCUCUCUGUGUGGGUAUUUGCGCAGAUUAGUCUGUUGGUAAUGCAGCCCUUAUCUGCUUCUGCUGGAAACCAGGGCACGAAGUCAGCCUGCCUUAACAGUUGUUUCUUUCUGCGUGAUGCUAUGCAGCUAGAAUGGGUUACGCUGACAACAAAGGAGCCAGCACAAAGCAUCACUUUAUUUGCUGGACUGCUACAGGAACCCGACUCUUCUUCGCUACGAAGCCCUGUUCUCUUCCCUUUUUGUUUUUUGUUUUUUGUUUUUUUUAUGUAAUUCAUCUAAUUGAAGAGCCUAACAGACACCAUCGUGGAUGUGGGUUUUAAUGAUUUGGAAAAGACAGCCUGUGGAGACUGCGAUUGGAGACUGCAACACGCUUAGGUUAUUGCCAAUUUGAAAUACUUGGUUUGUGAAGCACAGCCCUAAGGGACAAGCGCAGUAACUGAGAGAGAGAUCGUAGAUAAAGAAAUAAAAAUGACAAGCAUAAUGGAGGCUCUGCAAGAAACUGUCAGGGAAUCAGUUCAUGGAUGGCAAUUUCACCAGUCUGAAUCUGAAUAAUUCAUAGAUUGAAAUUACCCUGCUUUCACCUUUCCAUUUAAACUGGCAUGAUCUGAAUCUCUAAUAAAUUUUCAAGAUAAAGUAAAAUGCCAAUUUGAAUCUGAAGAGCUUUUAAAACCAAAUGCUACACCCUGAGUCUUUCGAUACCUUUCACAAUUAUCCUGUGAGAGCCGCACUUCAUCACGAAGCACCAUUACCAGUGAAAAUUACGGUGAUUACAAUAGCAACAAUAGAAUACCGUCAAAUGAUCUCCAAUUUACCUAAUUUACCAAGGUUGACUGUGUGCCCAUUGUGCUUCACUACGUCUGGCAUUGGAUCAAUAUCACAGAGGAAGAAAAAUGCCUUAGUAUAUGCUUCCUUUUGGUGCCUUUAACUUUGACAGCACAGGAAAAUCUAUCUCCUGUUAAAUGUUUUUACAGCCCAUCUGCAUGCCUGCCAUAGGAUCUGAUUGAUUCUCCAUCAUUUUCUUUGGUUGCUGAGUAUUGGAUGUUAUUGUGUUACUAAUUUGUUUAUAACGUGUACUCCUGCACAAAGACUGCAGCAAACGAGUAACAGCACAGCAACUGCGCUGCUGCAGCAGUAGCACUGCACUCUCUCGCAGGGGAAGCCAAAAUGAGUUUGGUGCCUUAUGUGAAUAAUCACUUGCAUCUGGGUUAUAAAUGCUUCCAAACAUCACUCAUCUUGGUUGCACGACAUGAGAAAUGUGUGCAAAAGUCGUGGUCAAGGGAAAUGGUUAUCUGUAAUCCUAACAAGAUUUCCCCCCUAUCCAGCAAUCAGUAUGAGGCUGUGAGAGAUAAGCUGUGACUCUUUCUUUAAAUGUGUGUGUGUACAUACGCAUGCACGUACAUAGGAGGUAAGGAUAGUAUGCGUUGUGAUUACGUGCUGAUCAGUGAAAGCCACAUUUCUCUGACAAGCCAGGCACAGUGUUUUGCCACAAUCUGCUCAGUUGUAACAAAUCCCGGUUUUGGAGUUUAUAUUUUCUAUAGGACAAUACGUGACUUCUGGAACAGUAAGUACCAUUUAUCCAGCAUGCCGGUGCCUGUAGCAAUGCCAUGGAAUGGUAUUUUAAGCAUAGUUUGACUACAGUGUGGAUAAGUAAGAAACAUGCACAUAAGGCUACAACAGGCAUUCCUCCUGGAGAAGACUGUGUCCGUUGUCUGUAUGUGUGUGAGUUGUCCACAUCAAUCUUGUUUCUUCUUUUAUGACCAGAUUUACUCUGCCCCCAUGAAGUAUUUGCUAAGGAAGACAAUCCCUGUGGAGCUGAUAGCUGUGGACUAAUGACUGGUAUACCAAGCAGAUAAGCUGUGGACAUUUUUCAGUGUUAACAUAAUGACUUUCAUCAAAGGAGGAAGAAGUCUACUUAUUUUUCAUUUUGUUAAGGUGAAAUCCUCAUAUUGUAUGGAUUGCUCAGACUUCACCAAAUUCCAUAGAACUACGACAAGUAACAGCAGUUGAUGAUCUACCCAACAUGUGUACCAUGUUGGCCAACACAGCAAAAAUGUAAAUUCUGCCUUGAGGAAAUCACCUUUUUCAAUGAGCUCAUGGAUUGGAUAGCAGUACACGCCCUUUGUCUUUCUUGGGCCUGGGGCAACCCAAAGCCUCUCUGAAUCUGAGUCAGGCAAAGAGGAGUUGUCCCACUGCUGGCACCUGCAAGUGAACGUUGUAAAGUUCAGUUGUCAACUCUUUCUUUAAUGAAAUUCUGAAAGCGUUAUUUACAGUUAAACCCAGUAUUUUCUAAAUUGAGUGUCACCUCUAAUUCUCUAAGGUGACAACAAAGAUAUGAGUGAGCUGCUGUCUGGUGACUUUCCUUUUCCAGGGCCUUCAGAUGUUCUUCUACCUGACAAACAGCUCCAGUGACAUGAUGUUUUCAGGAGGUUCAUCAUUGGCUUCAGUGUACCCAGAUCUCAGAUUCAACUUCUGCUGUCAGAAAUUCUCACAGCGCUCUUUUCCAAGAAGGACAGAAAUCUUCUGUUUCCUUUUUCCCAUAUUCUCAACAAAACAUCCCUAAUCACACCUUCUUUUUCUACAUAUUUUCCCAGUAGAAGCUUGAGACUUGAUAUCUCACCUCCAACUGUCCGCUUUCAGUCACUACAACUUCUAGGUCAUGUAACUAAAUUAAAAAAAUAAACUUAUAAUGAAUAAGAAAAGAUUUCUUUGAAAUAAAAUGUAGUAACAUACAAAUAAUUUUUUGCAUUUUCAACCACUGAAGCAGAACAGUAGUCAUUUAGUGUAUAUCAUAACUUGAGGUAAACCAGUAUUUUUUCAGGACAUAGAAUGAGAGAGAACUUUUCUGUCGCUCCCUAAUGAACUGAAGUCAACAUGCUAGUUUUCUUUCUGUGUUAUCUUGAAAUAAAACAACUGCAUAAUAACAGAAGGUUUAUUUUCAUUAUCAUAUGAAAGAGAGACACAAACAUGUAAAAUUUUUCCAUUUUUAAAAAGGAUUAAUUUGUAAAUAUCAAUCUAUAACAUAUAAAAUAAAUAACCCUGCUUGAAAGAAUAGAAAAAGUUUUGUAUUUGUUUAGUCAUUGAGUAGAGAAUCAUGAACAUUUGCAUAAACAGUAGAUUCAGAUUAUCCUUCACCAUUAUUCUUUACUUGCUGGAAUGGAUACCUGGUAAUAAUCAAUCAUACCAGAACUAUAGCUGAUAAUGGAUGAUUAAGGCUAGGGAACAGAUGUAAAGGGAAAGUAGAACUUUUUUUUUUUUUUUCCUGAGGUUCUUACGUGGUUCUGCUUUAUUCCCUUCUACCAAGCUCAACCAAGUUCUGUGUAACAUAAGGGACUAAAUUAGGACUGGAUUUGGACUGUUUCCCAUCUUGUGAAAACAUCCCUUUCUUGAACUGAGAGAAAAAAGAUAUUACAAAUUAAGACCUUGAUAAAGUUUUGGAACUAAAAAUAAUGAUAAUGUCAAAAGAGUCAAUGGCAAUAUUUCUCUUAGGUUAUCUAAGAAUAUUUGGAUUGUACUAGAACUAGUGUAUAUUUUGUAACUAAAAGCCAUUUUUGAGAGAACAAAACCUUUGAAGUGUUAAAAAUGUGUUUUUAUCAAAUUCAGUUUUUCAGUGUUUUGAAAUCUUAUUUGAUCCACUUCCUACCAUGUUUUGGCUUAGACAAAUAGGUGUGUUUUUGGAUGAAAAUCAUUUCAUCUAAAAGUUCCAAGCUACUUUUGCUGUUCACAAUAAACCAUAGAAAUAUCACAGGAAACUUCUGGUAUAUACAGCGUCUUAAUCAGCUGGAAUUUGAAUAAUAUGCAGACACAUAUCUAACUCAUUCCCAAAUGACUAGGAAAUCUGUGUCACAUAUGCUUUUCAAAAAGGGAGUUCUCAAAAAAUUUAAUUAAACAAGAGAAUGAAACACAGCUUGUUCAGUUUGAGGUUGUUCUUUUUUUCUUUCUUUCUUUUCUUUCUUUUUUUUUUCUUUCUUUCUUUUUUUUUUUUUUUUUUUGGUAUUUAUUUAAAAUCAUCAUUCCAAUCACUCCAUUUUGUUUCCCAAUGUAUAUAUCUGUUUAAACCCUAUAAGUUCCUUAAAUAAAUUUGAGUUUUCUUAUGUUGGCAUCCCAAGAAUUCAGAUCACUGAGAAAUCUACCUGAGAACUCAAAAGAUGAUUAAGACCAUAGUGGGCAAACACACGUGCUUGACUACACAGGUAUUAGCAUGCAGUCAUCUACAGCACAAAUGUAUGCUUCUAUACCAGUUUCAGGCUCCUAGUUUUCUUUUUUGACCCAGUGGAAGAGCAGAGCUUUACAAAGCAAAUCCUGAAUUUUCACAGGUAAUUUUUCACAGGCCUCCAGGCCUCUUAUAAAAAGCUUAUAGGUUCCCCGUGGGCUCCUUGUGGAAAGCAACAGCAAGCACCAAUGAGCCAAAAUUAUUCCCACCAUUGAAACUCUUUAUAGUGCACAAAGACUAUAAGGUACCUUUGUGCCACAUCUCUUUCAAAUCCAAUUUCUGUUUAAAAAUACAAGCCUGCUUUUGUAAGUGGUUUGUCCAAGGAACAGUGGGAAAUCUUUGCAUUAUCACUAACUGAUUGAUUAUAAAGUCUGAUAGUCCUGUGUUUUCUGAUUCUAAUUAAAGGGAUAUUAUUCAAAUAGAUUACAAAACUUUCCUCCUGGUCAAUAAAGAAUUUUGCUUGUGGCUCUAGACAGAAACAUUAAUGCAUUUCUUGUGCAUAACAAAGUGCUCAUGGCACCAGCAGAGACUUUGACUUCAUACAUAAACACUAUUAACACUUCUUAGUUGCCUUUUAAGGUGGUAGAGCAUGAGGGGCUCUGCCAGAGAGGCUUUAUAAGCUUUAUCAAACCCUACAGUGGCAGUUCAGGGGAUUACCAGCCACAGCUGUCUGCUUUCUGAAGGCAGAAUGCCAGCCCUCAGCUGCUCACUUUGCUGUCCUGACUGUACUGCAGGUGUGAAUACAUUUUGGUCUCCUUAUGAUAUCUGCACACAAAAAAACAAGAGGAAAAAUCAGUGCAUGGAAAAGACAGUCUCCCUCUUCUUGAUCUCUCAGGGUACAGACAGUUACAGUCUAACAAAUCUAUUGGCAAUCAUCUCUGUAUUGACAGAGUUCAGGCUAAGAAUAACUGGAACUUUCUUUGGUUGUUUUUUGUUGUUGUUGUUGUUGUUUGUUUGUUUUUGUUUUUUUUCUUUUUCUUCUUUUCCUUUUUGAGAGGGUGGGGAAUAUCUGAUCCAGUUGUCACACAGACCCAUAAACAAUGUUACAAGGUCAACUGAAAGACAGCAUAGGCUGGGAAUGAGCAGCUGGGGACUGUUCGGAUAGCACUGUCAGUGAAUGGCACUGCUUUCCUGCACUUGCAUUCAAUCUGAGUUCGAGCAUUCAGAUAAUCAUCUAUGACAUCUGAGAUACAGGAGCAGUGCCCAGCAGGUGGGCCAGUACCUGCUUAAAUCUAGCCCAAGUCACUGGAAAGGACAUCUGUCUCUGCUCUCAGAUCUGAUGCUUCAGUGGCCCCACUGCAGCUGAGCAGUAAGAACUCUGCCGUGCAUUUAUGAACUGAUAUUUUUAAGAAACUCUUACUGUGAGAUGUAUUUUGAAUAAGUUUUAACUCAUUCAAAAAUGGCCAAAAAAAAAAAAAAUCCUGCUGUCAGAUGUGCCAAAUCAUUGCAACACAUGGAGGUACUAGAGCUUCUCAACAAAAAACAGUUGCAGAAAUAUUUUUAAGAUUCCUAAAAGAGCAACAUUUUCUCUUAGCCUUUGUUCAGCAAAAUCAUUUUAUCUGAAGCUUUUCACUCUGGGUCAUGUGCUGCUUUGGGAAAGGAAAGUCUGAAAAUGUUACAGGCACCUGAAAUUUCUGAAGAAUUCUUUUCUGAAGAAAAAAUCUGGGGCACCUGUGCCUAUGUUAUCUUCUAGUCUAAAAAAAACCUUGUCUCUCCUUUCUUCUUCUCUUGCAUCCAACCCCAGACAGUCAUGUUUCUAAGUAGACACUGGGGCUAGCAUACAAUACUAUAAGCAUAUCAAAAUGACUAAUAUGAAAGGGCUGAGCAAAAGGCCUUUAAAAAUAAACCAAAGAUAAAUCAUUAUUUAAGAAUUACUGUUUUGUUUGCUUGUCAUUAGACAUCUGUUCAUAGACACUGCAAAUGUUCCACUGUUUGUCUGGGUUUAAUCGUAACAACUUCGCAGAGGUGCCUUCUUCUUCCUCAUUGUUUUCACUUGGUUUCUAAGGCAAACAAUACCUAUUUUUUUUUCCAGGCCUUUUAAUUAUUUAAAGUUGCUAAAAUGCUAGAACUCAAUAAUUGCAUAGGAUGGAAAUUUAAAUCCAAACCUCAGAAUGUACCAAGUGUGUACAGUACCAGACCUUGUCUUGACCCCUGCCGCUGGUAGCCCCAGGACCUCCCUGCAGUGACUAGGUAUAAUUCAGGUCAGAACUUGACCCAAAAUAUGUAAAGCUAGCCCUCCCCUUCCUCCCUUCUCCCAGUCAGCUGCUCCCAUUUCCAGACCACAAAUAGUGUACUGAAUCCAAAUUGUUUACUUUGCUGGGAAUGCCAUCUGUGUGUUGGCAGCUGGGGUGGGAGGGAAGGCACACACACUGAACAACAGCGAUAAAUACAGACAGUGGACUAAAUUAGGAGUUCUGCUGCUUUCCAGUGCUCUGCAUCCUUGCGUGCUUCCAUUAAGUGGAUACAGUUCUUCUUAAACAGAUACUGAACAUCCAGAUUAUUCAGCAAGAGAUCAAAUUCAGAACAUUUGAAGAGAUAUAGAAAUAAGCCAAUCUGGGUAAAUACUAAGACUACUGAAAAGGUUUAUGUCAUUUAUGGCUAAAUUCACUUAACAUCUUACAGUACACUGGAACCAGCAAGGGGAAAUAAAAACAACAGUAAAUACUAUCAAAAUGAGUACGUUGUAAGUCAUCCAAAAUGAAAAAUCAGAGAAGAUCUGGUGAGAAAGUUUCUCAUAGACCAAAGAUAAAGUCAAUAACCACUUAAUUGGCAACUGAUUCUGAAUUCUGAAGAGGAAUUGCUGGCAUAACAUCUAAAUUUCCCAUUUAAAAGGUCUUACAUUUGAACAAUUCACUAUAUUACAGAAAGGAUAAUUCAGUAGUUAAAAGCUCAUCUUAAAGUAUAUGUGUAUACAAAGUAUAUCUGUAAAUGUGAUGGCAGGGGAAAAUUUAAAGAUUAAAAUUUUGCUCAUAUUUCUUCACUAACAGCUUGACAACAGCAACAUGUCUACACAGAAUCCUAGAAUGCCUGAGGUGGGAAAGGACCCUUGAAAAUAGUCAAGUCAUACUACUCUGCUCAAAGUAGGGUCCAUGAGGGUUGCUCAGCACCAUGCCCAGCUGGGUUUUGAAUACCUCCAAAGACACAGAAGCCACAGCCACUCUGUUGUCUUACUCUUGGAAUUGUCUAAAAUACAUGAAACUUAAGAACAAUCAAUAACAAGAAGUGAGCUCAGUCCUUCAGCAAAUCUACAGCUGCAGUCCUGAAGAAAUUAAAUGACAAAGAAAUGGUUUAACACCCCUUAAUUUAUGAAAGUUGGAUUUACGUCACUAACUUGAUUUACCUUAGCUUACUUUGUGUAAUGCAAAAAUGACAGCUCUUUUGUGUAAGGUUUACCCAUCCUGAAGAGAGUACAUGGAGGCAAGAAGUUAACUUUCAUCAGUUUGAUAGAGAGGUCCUCAUGUUACCAGGGGGGCUGGCUGGUGGACACUCCCCCAAGUCCUCAUUACUGGUGGCGGCUGGCUGAUAGAAUGUCUACACUGGGAUUACCUCCAACAGGUUCUGGUGGUGACUCGCUGACAAGAAUUCCACACAACCCACUGGUAGCAUGGCCAUACAUAUAAAUGCAGGAGACAAUAAAGUAUGGUGUAUUAGGAUAAGCAAAGUCAUGGGCAGAAAGCAAGGAUACUUAGUUACUACAGAGAAGUAUUUCUCAAGGGAGUUUCUUCUAGCUGCAUCCAGAAUCUAGAGGCAGUUCACUUGUGUUCCCAAGCCAGCAAGAGCUCUUUCUCAUGGGCUAGUCGCCUGUUCAGGCCGUAUUCAUCUGUAUUUUUCCACAAACUUGGCUACUCUUAUUUAGAAUUGACUGGAAACAGGUUUCCUACUUCAGUUUUCCAACAGCAAGACAUAAAGAAUAAGGAAGGACACGUCCUAUUGGUAAGCAUUUUAACAAUUUGGCUGACAUUGGUCCACUAGAAAAGGCUAUGUAAUCAAAAAUGUACAAUCGCAUUCACAUCAGCUAUAAUAGGCUUGUCACUGUAUCUGCUCUUUGGAUUUCCUAAAAUGUGCUGCACUAAUGUUUGACUGUAAUGUAAGGUAAGAUUUUCUCUGCUGUGACAAUGCAUAGGCUUGAAGAUCUUAUAUUUUCAUGUAAGAGUUAAAUCUUUCAAAACUGAUACCCCAGAUCCAGAGGUAUUAGGAAAGUGAGGAAGAAAUGUCUUGGUUCAGAAAUGGGUUCCUAAUGCCUAUAGAGAUAGCUGAUAGUUGUUCACAAAUGAUCAAAUCAUAAAUGUUGGUUAGUUUAAAAACUCUCUAAAGUGUUAGAGUAAUUUUUUAGUAUUUUUAUUUGAAAUACAGGCCACAAAUAGAUUUCCGUAUAUUUUAGAGGCUGAGACUAUCCCAAAUAUACGAUAUAUGGGAGAUACUCUAAAGUGAUUCACCUAAAUACCGUGGGCCAAGUUUCUGGUCUUAAUGGAGAACUUCUCUUUGUUCUCUGCAGCUUACCUUGGUAAUUUCUUCCAAUUUUAUUAAUAUCUUCUUAGAAUUAUUCCUUAAGGAAGAACCUUGAACUGCAGAUCACCUGCAAUGAACAAAAUUCUUUACCAGCCACAGUGAGAUUCACAAAACAGCAAAAACAGCACAGAACAGCAUAAGCAGAUUAUUCUGAUACAUUAGAAAUAUUGAAUUUCAUUGCUUUGUAUAUAUUUUAACAGAAAAUUUUAAAGUCCUGAGUUAGCACCUGAAUUCCAUUUGAAUAACUUUGCCUCAAAAACCUCAUGUUAUUACCUUGAGACUUAAGACCACCAUCACCACUGAAAUUUUUGAAUUAUUCAGAAAAAUUGAUUGGGUUUUGGUCUGUUUAAAGUCACUGAAGAAAAUGGGAAAGAAAAACAGGUACUUAUACAAAUUCUACAAUCACCUCAAUUUUGUAAUUCCAAAUUUGCAGCACAAGAUCUACAUGACAAAGCAGGAACACUACCUUAAAGCCUUGUUUUCUUGUUUUCCCUGUUCCUUGUUUUCUUUGGCACAAAAGCUUUGUUCAUCAGUAGUCAUACACUUUCAUAUGUACUGGUGUUUGUAGACUUUUAAAAAAUAAGUACUAUUCCUCAGUUUUCUUGUUAAAUAAAUAUUUUCCCAUUCUAAAAUGAAGCAAGGAUUGAAUUGGCUAGCUAGUUUAAGAAGUGAGCAGAUUUGGUAACAAAGCAAGUCACUGAAAUGGCCACAGAGAUUUUCAUGGUGGUCUUAAUGGACUUUGAACAUCUCUCCUGGAAGAACCCCUUUUUCAUGGUCCAGUUUCUGUCUCAGUCAUCAAAAGUUACUUCUAAUUAAAAUACUGUAUCUAGUGGUUUACCAGGAGAAUAAAACAGAAAAUUCCAAUUUUUGUUCCGAAGAACAAAUGUGUGUUUGACAUUUUUGGAGUAACAUUAUAGCACUGCUUCUUAUGUAAGUUUUCCUCCUUCACACAAUUUUCUCUUCUGAAGGAAAAUGAAGCAUUUGUUUUUUGUUGUAAAAAGAGAUUCUUGAAAGAGUUAACAAAAAACAAAAGCUUUUCUUGCAAUUUGAAAGAUCUUGGUGACAUGUCAUUUUUCCAGAAAAAAAGUCUGCAAUAGCUCAGGAUUUCCAUGAGUAGUCUGGAUUUCGUGGGAGGAAAGAUGAUGGCAGGAAGUAACUGAGUACAUCUACAGCUGAUUGUCUCAACCUUCCUGGCUCUGAACUAUGUGUGCUAAGUGCUGCCCUAUGUGCAUUUUCAUACAAAGCAGUUUCUUGAAUUAAUAGAAUACAGCAGAAAGGGAUUUGAACUUCCACUCAUCCUGCUACCACUGAUGUGCACCGUAAUUGCCAGGCACAGACAACACAGUCUACUUGUCUCUAUUUUCUUCCUUCGUGAGUCAGAGAGAAUACAAUGAGCGAGCAGUAGUUAGAAUUGGUCAGAUUAGUAAAUGAAUAAGCUAUUUAGUGUAAUGAAUAAAGCAUUAUUCAAAGUCUGCUUUUUAAAUACCCUUUUCCUCAGCUCAGUGAGCCUUGAAAAAAGGCAUAUCAGAAACUAGACAUUACUAGACAUUACUUCCAAGCUGAAUUUACCCCUUUACAAGGGGUCACCGUUUACAGAAAAAGCAGAUCAAUACAUUGAAAAAGGUAACAGUAUGAAUGACUGCAAGAAAAGUAGAGAAACAAAAUCUGUGGUUCACAUGUGUUGCUCUGUUGUGCUCAUGGGUGAGCAUUCACAUGAGCAGAGAUGCCUUUAUUUUGCCCACUAAAAUUCUCCUUAUGUUUUCUUUCCAGCAAGUGGAGAAACUCCUCCAGACGUAGUCGCUGCAGAAGCCUGGGGUCAGUGCACAGCUCGCUGCCUGCGGGAACCACCUUCUUUACAGGCUUCUGAAAAAUAAGCACAUUGCUCAGCCAUGUUAGGUCUUUCAUGUUGCGUGCUCCACACUAAAGAAAUAAGCUAGCAUUGUGAAAGGUAAGAUACCACCAUUGUCUGAGGAAAACAACUGAAUGAUCCUGGAAAUGCAAAUUCUUCUUUUUACAUGUAUUCAUACAUGUAAAUAAAAUCCUGACAAAGGAAUUUUACUCAGCUGAGUCAUGUUCUUUGUCUUCAAUAGUAUUCUAUUAUAAAUGAACAGAAACUUCAAGUUAGGAUUUGCAUCUGAACAGUAGCCUCCAUUUGAGUUCAGGUGAGACUGCUGUGUUGUAAAAACUCGUAACUCAUGCCAAUUUAUUCAGAUCAGAUUUCAAAUCUUUUUACUAUUCAGUAGUACAGAAAGCAACACUGCCAAACUUCAUAACUGUUCUCACAUUUUGAUUAGAAAAUUUUCAUAAAUACCAUUUCACAUGGGUGUUUUCAACAUGCUAGUUGCAUAAUCUCCUCUGUGCAAUUAGUUACACAAACACUGAAAAAUAAGUUUAUGACCUGGAAGCGAGUUUUGAUAAACCCUUCUGAAGAAGUACCUGAAACAUAGUCCUGGACAAUCUACAACUGAUACGAAUGAUUCAUGCAUAUACAACAGCACAGACAGUCUCCAAACAAGUUAAAGACCUGCCAGGAGCAGCAGUAAUUCAAUAUCUGCUUUUAAAAAAAGAAUGCAAAACAGAUCAUAACUGAGGAAUAAGAUGCUGAAUUCUUCUGAUGGGGAAAGUUAUGGAACACACUAAUAAUUUGGGAGAUUUACAAUGUCCUGACAGAAAUACAGAAGACAGAGAAGACAGAAGGGAUAACAGAAAAAAAGAACAACAGCCAUGGAAAACUGCACAUUGACAGUGCACCACUUCUUCCUUAUUUACAUAAUUAAUACUUGGUCUUCUGAGCCAUGGGUCCACCUUGUUCAAUGUACAUGAUCUACACAACUGUGACAAGAGUACUCAUAAUAUGUUUCUUUUGGCCUUCUCCUCCACAGAGACUGCCUGGUGACCGUCCCACCAUCUCUGUUGCUCACAGGAAACCACUACUGCUGCACUUGGGACAACACUGAUUCUUCUGUGUCUGAAGUUGUGGCUUCAAAUUGCAGUAAAGCUGAUAAAAUAACCAGCUGCUGUGAAAAGAAGUGUCCUCAUACUUCCCCUCUUGCAUGUAAUCUCCCUUGUGCUAGCUGUGGUCUGUGCCUGGUCCCAUGGUAAACUGGUGCAGGGAGAUGGCCAGCAACAUGCCACCCUCCUCAAAGAAGUAGUUCUCAGUGUGGAGUUGUCUUAGUCAAGUUUGUCAUUAAACAGCAGCAAGCACAAGAAACUACUGAGCAUUUUUUUCACAUGUGCAGGAAAAGAUUGAGGUUGUUUUAUUAUUUUACAAACCAAAAGAUCCAAAAUACCCCGUAUGGUAUUUUAUUACAUUAUCUCUUAUUCCUUGGAACCUAUCAUAGAAGGCCUCAUAUUAAAUAAAUAAAUAAAUAAAUAAAUAAAUAAAUAAAUAAAUAAAGGGAAUAUAGCAAACAAACCAAACCAGUAGGCUAGGAGCUGGAAAACAAAACCAUCUAAAUAUAAAUAAAUUGUGGACACCUUGUAACACAAAAUUCCUACGCAUUGUCAUCUGUUGAUUAUUACAGUUUCAUUUAGUUUGGAGUUUGCUUUAUUUUCAUGCAACUUUUGUCUAUCCAAAUAAUUACAGUUGUAUUGCUGUAUUAGUUUGAAUCUAGUCAUUGAGACAAAUAGAAGAGCCCAUCUCUGUCAUUCUGGCCAAUAUUACAUUCUAUUACAUAAGAAAUGGGAAUUAAACAUAAGAUAUGGGAAUUAAAUCAAUUUUAAUGCACCAUUGUAAUAAGAAGACAAGUGUAGUUCUAGAUUGCAAUUAUGGAGAUAAUUACAAUUUCAUUGGUAUUGCUUAGGUUUAAGAAUGCAAAGUUUACCUUGGGUGAACAUUUCAUUAUCUAGGAUGAAUCCAAGCUAUUUUUCUUCUAAAUCAUAUCUUGGCUUAUUUCCUAACUUUGACUGUUUAAUAGAAACAUAGAGAAUUUUACAGGUAGACUAUAUCAAAACAGGCUAGCUGGUUCAACUCCAAAUUACUGUACAGUGAUUUGAGAAAAAACAUUAAUUUUGAAGGAGCUCUGGAGGCUGAGUAUAAAGAUUAUUAAACAUAAGUUUUAUAUAUGCAGAAAAAUUGCUUUUGCAUGAAUUCACUUUUAAAAUGUUAAUAUAUGCAUAAGAAAAUUGUGUUUCUUAAUCUCUGAAGAAACACUUAUCACUAGGAACCACUUAAUUCUUUUCCUGCGCUUGAUUUAUUAGCUUAUGAAAUUAUGCUAAUAGUUUGCAUGCUAAUGGUUUUGGGGCUCAAAUGACCUGAUUUUAAUAAUGAAGUAAUUUAUGCAGUAAAUGCAGUCAUCAUCUAUGAAUCUUACUUAAAAGAACAUAUCAGUGAUUACUUAUGCUAAAACCAAAUGCCUGUCAAUACGGCACACAGUAUUUGUCAUGACAGGGAAAUGGGAUAUGCUCAGCCCAGUACACCCUUUAGGAUGGUUGGGUCCCACACUGCUGAGCUACACCAAGGCCUGCAACGACAACUCUCAUAACAGUUUAUGAAACUCAUUGUCAGCCAACUUCCUUGCAUGAACACCUUGGAGGGAAAAAGACAAUGGCAGGAAAUGGAUGGAACCAGGAAUGAAGUCUAACCUGGAACCAGUAAGUUCUCCUCUGUGAGUAGGAGAUCUCAGUGGCACAGACACCAUACACCUUGGCGGAGGAGAUUGUGGGAAGAAAGUUUGUCUUUGGGUGAGAAGAUUUAAUCUUUACAAGAAAAGGAGCACUUUUAUUAAGGCCAUGAGCUGCAUGACAUCUUAGAGGUGCAACCCCUUGCAACAUCUGGGAAGCCUGUGUGUAACAGAUCCUUCACAAAGAUGCUUUCCUAAAACAUCUGUAUAGAUCUGCUCACUGCAAAACUGUAUUUGAAUCUGUCCCCCACAUAAUUUACUGUCCUGUUCCCUAACGUGAGGAGAAAUUCAUGACUUCAUUCUGAAAAGAAUACAGCCAUGGUUUCUUUGCAGUAAUGUAAGCUUGUGUUUUGAUAACCCGCUGAACAUCAAUAUUCACUUUGGUAUAAAAAAAUAAAAAAUAUAUUCUUAGCUGCCAAAGAUAAUCUAACAGUUCAAACACCCAGACAGAAGCUGGGAGAGGUCAGACUGGAUGUUAUCCAAAAUGUAUAAAGUCAAUAGAAGAACUGGAUCAUCCCCUCCCCAUAGAAGCUCCAAUGCCUGAAGGCCAGAAGUCCCCCUGUCUUCCAAAGACCGAUGUUGAGCAAUUGUAUUUUGGUUGGUCCAGCCACUUCCUCCACAGAAUACAGAGACCUCCCUGCAUGCUGAGACUAGGGCCUAGGUGAAGCUCACUAAGGAGAUCUUGUGCAAAGGCCCUGAAGGCCACUCUGCUGCCUACACACAGCUCCAGAG
ensembl:lncRNA